rnacentral:rRNA from 1 species
GACGAACGCUGGCGGCGUGCUUAAUACAUGCAAGUAGAACGCUGAAGGAGGAGCUUGCUUCUCUGGAUGAGUUGCGAACGGGUGAGUAACGCGUAGGUAACCUGCCUUGUAGCGGGGGAUAACUACUGGAAACGAUAGCUAAUACCGCAUAAUAGCAGUUGUUGCAUGAUAACUGUUGGAAAGUUUCAAUUGCACCACUACCAGUUGGACCUGCGUUGUAUUAGCUAGUUGGUGGGGUAACGGCUCACCAAGGCGACGAUACAUAGUCGACCUGAGAGGGGGGGCGGCCGCACUGGGACGGAGACACGGCCCAGACGGCUAGAGGUAGGAGCCAUAGGGAAACUGCGGGAAGGGGCGGAAGACUGACCGAACAGGGCCGAGUGAGGAUGGAAGGAUUUCGGGUCGUAAAGCUCUGUUGUAAGGGAGGAAAGAGUGUGAGAGUGGAAAGUUCACACUGUGACGGUAUCUGACCAGAAAGGGACGGCUAACUACGUG